GGUCUAUAAGAGGAAGAUAAGCUGUUUUUUUAGUUUAGUAAGUCAUCAAACAACAAAGAGCUGCUAGAUCUGAUAAAGAAUCAACAAUCAUCUAGAAACUGCACAUUGAGCUAGAUGCAUGAAUGGACAAGCUUCCUUGAAACGAUCUGUGGCCAUAUGACUAAAUUCCAGAUGCAGCAGAGGGCUGUGGGAAGAGCACUGAACUAGGGAGUCAAGAUACUUUAGUCCAGUCCCAUCCUCUACCUACUAAAACCGAGCAAGUCUCCCAGCACCCUGAGGAUCGGCAUCCCCCUAGAGAAACAAGAAUAUUAAACUACAUGAAUUCUAAGGACUACUGCUUACCACCAAGCUUAUAUUCUGCUCAGUAUGUCCCCAUCUUCUAUUUCGGCUGAAGACAUUGUAGCGUUUUCAGAGACCUCAUCCUGAACACAAGUUCUCAAUGCUGUUUCUGGCUCUAUUUUUGCACACGUAUAUUUAGCCAAAUGCCAAGGUAUAUAAAAACAUUCUACCAUCUAAAGUGAAGUUAUAUUUGAUCUUGGACUGAAUAUAGAAAGUGCCUGGCACGUAGUAAGUACUCAGUUAAGGUCAGUUGUU